UCCGAUAUGGUAUAGUGGCUAACAUUAUCGCCUCUCAUAAAUCCGAGGAUACGAUUGCACGAUAGCCCGGGGUUCGAUUCCCCGUGUCGGAA